AUAUAUAACAUUAAAAUAUUAAACCUAAAACAAGAAUGGAGAUGUAGGAGUGUGGUGACGGCGGCGAUUUCCAACACAAGAAAAACAAAAAGUUCAGGUAAAAAAAAAGGGAAAAAAUAAAAAGCGAAAGCUAGAUAGAAAGAGUACAAAUGUGUGAGAGGGAGAGUGAUGACGGAAGACUUCCUGUACAUGGAUGGCCUUGCCAGAGUGGCUUGCAGAGGGGUGUGGUGAUCGAUUGACGAAGGCGCAUGCAGUCAAUCAGAGAUGGCGGUGGCAGCGGCUGUAUGUGGUCCGGAAACAGAAGCAGUGGUCUUAUACCGUCGCUUCCCCCUUUUUAGUGAUUUUCGUCUUCAAUUUAUCGCCUUAUGUGAUGAAUCUGAGUGUCUAUGAGAUAAACCUAACACAAGAAUGGAGAUGUAGUAGUGUGGUGAUGGCGGCGAUUUCCAACAGGAGAAAAACAAAAAGUUCAGAUAAAAAAAAAAGGAAAAAAAAAAAGAAGAGAAAGCUAGAUAAAAAGAGUACAAAUGUGUGAGAGGGAGAGUGAUGACGGAAGACUUCCUGUACAGGGAUGACCUUGCCGGAGUGGCUUGCAGAGGGGUGUGGUGAUCGAUUGAAGAAGGCGCAUGCAGUCAAUCGGAGAUGGCGGUGGCGGCGGCGGUAUGUGGUCCAGAAACAGAAGCAGUGGUCUUAUACCGUCGGCAGUAAAAUUCCUCCCUUUUCUUUUUCUAUGGUUUCUUUGAUUUUUGUUGAAUAUUUUAAUUGAAAUAGUUUUUCUGAUGAGAUACAAGAAUCAGUUUGAUUUUUAUGUUUUACUUUUCUGGAUUUUUGCUUUCAUAGUGGAUGAUAUUUGUAGAUGUAUUGAAAAAAAUAAAACGUAUUGGGUUUCUAAA